GCUCUGCAAACUGGCUUCCUCUUAGGCUCUGUCAAUGGAGGAUGCUGAGUGGGCCUGUUUAAAUCGGAGGCAGCGGGAAAGCACAAAAAUAACUGUGAGGAAAAGAGACGUAUCUCCUGGGCUCCUGGAAAUGUGAGGCUUGGCACUGCAGAGCUGGGUCGGGAGCACACAGAGGAGCACCGAUGUCAGCUGGGAGCCCAGGCGCACCCAGAGAAUCCUAGUUUCUGUGUCAAGUUGACAUCAGAGUAGCCAGCACGAUUAACACACCAGAGAAGAGGAUGAUAUGAACGUCUCCCAGAUGAGUAUUAAAACUUUGUAUUUCCCUUUGGAGGCGAGGAUCCAAUGCUCUUGUCUGAGGAGUGAAUGUUUGCUCUGUUUUGUUAGGCAGAGAGACAGCAAGAACACCCAAGAGAAGUCUGAAGACAAAAGCAAGCUACAUCGUGGUUUGGGAGAACGCUGCUGUAUUGAAGGCUUGGUCCCUAACGCAGCAGUGUUCAAAGAUGAGGCCUUUGGGAGGUGAUGGGGUCUUGAAUGGCUUCACCUCAUGACUAAAGUAACAUUGUUUAUGGACUCAUGGCUUCAUGGGUUUGAAGGAUCUGAUGGCUUCCUCUGGCCUCUGCAGGCACUACAUGCCUAUGGUGCACAGACAUACAUGCAUGCAGAAUACGGCACACAUAAAAUAAAAGUAAAGGUUAACUUUUUCUACUUCCUGGCCAGCAGAACAUGAGCAGUUUCGUUCUCUCACAUGUUUCCUCCCACAGUGUUCGGCCUCACCAUAGACCCAGUUGGUAGGGCCAAGUGAACAUGGGUUGAAACCUCUAAUGCUGUGAGUCAAAAUAUUUUCUCUUUGAGUCGAUUUUCUCUGAUAUUUUGAAACAGCAACGAAAAGCAGCCCAGGAGAGGAGGGUGCAAAUUCCCAUUGUGCCUACCCUGGUGCCUUGUAUUUUAUCCUUUCUCCCCCUCAGAAUUACCUCGGAUAUUUUUAGACAUGUCUUUACUCUUUCUUAUGAAUUUUGGGUUCUAUGAGUUGCACAUUAAAUCUUUGUUAAGUUUAGCUUUUUCAAAAUUAACCUUUACUUUUGUGUCAUGUGUGCCGCGUUCUGCAUGCAUGUAUGUCUGUGACCAUAGGCAUGUAGUGCCUGCAGAUGCCAGAACAAGGUAUCAGAUCCUUCAUAACUGGAGUUUGAGAUGGUUGUGAAGAAAGGCAGACUCUGUGAGUUUGAGGCGAGCCUAGUCUAUAUGGGGAGUUCCAGGUCGGCCAGGGCUAUGUAGAAAGACUCCGUCUCAGAAAACAACAACAACAACAAAACAACAACAAUGACAACAACAACAAGAAUUGAAUUUGAAGGUUUAUCCAGGUGGACAAAUGACAAGUGGCAACACUAUCGUUUGUUGAGUUUUGGAAGUUAAAUAUCUGAAGAGAAGUGCAAAUGACUGAGCACACAAAGCAAUGUGCUGUGCUAAUUAUUGUCUAGCUGCCCUCUCUUAGCUCCAAACCACCCGUGUCUACUCUGCAAGUCUCUGCCUUGCCAAAACAACUUCCCAUUCGUGAGCGGAUAGGAGGAGAGUGGAGAGCAAGACGGGGCUGGAUCCUUCCUUGGGGUUGUCUGAGUUUAUGAACAUCACCCCAAUCCUUCUUCACCCUGGCCACAGCGGAUGCCCCUGUGGGUUGUCUGAAGACGAUUGGCAGCUUUCCCAUUCUUUUUUUUUUUUUUUUUUUGGUUCUUUUUUUUUUUCGGAGCUGGGGACCGAAAGCUUUCCCAUUCUUGCAGACCAACCCCAUCCUGCUUCAGUUAAAGAUCAUAGUAAUAGAGCCGAGAAGCGCCCCUUCUUGGAGAUUGAGCUUCACUCCGCAGGGAUCCUUAGCUUGAGUGAUCAUUUAAACACCUUCCCUUGGUUCUCCCACCCCAAGCUCCUCGAAUCGCUGCCUCCGAUACUUUGAUAUCCUUUUCUCGCCUGCGUGCAUCAUCUAUCCAGGCUCAAAGCCGUGCAGCGGAUAUGUCUGUCUGCGCAUGCUCGAGGCUCAGCCAGUGUUUCUAUCAUUUUUAUUGAUAUAGAUAAGGAACCUAGCCCGCAAAGCAAUUAAGUCACCUUCCGUUGGUCACAGAGCUGGUGACAGUCAGACUUUCAGAGAUAUAAUAGGUAAUCCAUUUUUCAUAUGAUUCAGUUUCCUGUUGUAGUCAUACUCUGCGGGCACCUGAAUGGACCAAGCCUUUAGUCUAGCAUGUUGUUUCAGAGGCAGUACGUUUUGCACUGUGGUAUUCUGCUUUAUGGGGAAGGAAGAAUGGACAAAGAAAAGAAGGGAGGGAGGCGGGGAGGGAGAGAGACAUUUGCAUAUUGUUGACUGGACUUUGGUGGCAAACAGAUCUUGAGUAAUAUCCCAGAAUUACCUUUUACUGCUUACAACUUGCACCAACCAAGUAGAUCACUCUGCCUUUGUUAGACUCCAUUUAUUCUCUGGUUAUCAGUGCAAUAUAAUUUUUUUUAAAAAGACAGGACAUCAAUUUGUGGUCAAUGACUGCCCUCUAGAGGCAACUUUGAAAUACUGCUCCAUAACUGUGUUCGAUACAAUCUCAGAACUGUCCAGUCCCAAAGCCAGCAGUUUCUGCAAGUCAAACAUCCCGACGGUUGAUAAUUAGUCAUCAGGGCCUCUGCACUCUUUGAAUGUCAGGUCCAUGCUUCUUCGUUGGGAUUAAUAAGAGUUAGAGGUCUGGAAAUAUUGGUCAGGUAGUAAAAUCCUGUCCUAAAAGCACAGGACCUGAGUUCACUCCCUAGAAACCAUGUUUUAAAAACAAAAACAAAAACAAAAACAGAAAAAGGUAUAUUUCAGGGCAUGGUGGCACACAACUUUAAUCCUAGCACUUCAGAGGCAAAGACAGAUCUCUCAGUCUGAGGUCAACUUGGUUUACAGAACUAGCUCCAUGAAAGUCAGGGCUACAUGGACAAACCCUGUCCUGAAAACCCAAAGCAAACUCAACCAACCAACCCCAACCAACCAGCCAACCAAUCAGCCAACCAACCAGCCAACCAACCAGCCAACCAACCAGCCAACCAACCAACCCCCAGCCAACCAAUCAGCCAACCAACCAGCCAACCAACCAACCAACCAACCAACCAAUCAGCCAACCAACCAGCCAACCAACCAACCAGCCAACCAGCCAACCAACCAGCUAACCAACCAGAUAUGAUGUUAAUCUAGCAGGGGGUGGGCAAAGACAGGCUGAGCUCUGGAAUUUACAGGCCGGCCAGCCUAGCCUAUUUGGUAAGCUCCAUGUCAGUGAGAGACCCUGUCUCAAAACUAAGUAGAUGGUGCCUGAGUAACAACACUGAGGCUGUCUUCUGAACACACACACACACACACACACACACACACACACACACACACACACACACACACACGGGGGCGUCCACACGUGAGUGAAUAUGCUCGUGCUUAAAUUUGCUAGUGUGGGUACAGAGGAGCCCCAAAGAACCAAGUCCUAUGAAAAUUUACCCACCACCAAUAACAACAGCCAUGCUUUAAAGAAACAGACUACCCCUGGGUUAUGCAAACUGCAAUAAGCAGCCAACUAAACAAACAAACAAACAAACAAACAGAAACUUAAAGGAAUAUGACCCAAUGCAUCUUAUUAGGCUAAAAUCGGUCAACACUUCUUCCUAAACUUACAUGAGUUUGGGAGACUAGAGAGAUAGGGCAGUGUCUAAGAGCCCUUAUCUCUCCCGCAGAGGACCCAACUGCAAUUCUCAGCGUCUGUGUUUGGCGGCUCACAAUUGCCUGUAACUCCAGGCAUCCUCCGACCUCCAAGGAUGCCUGUGAGCAUACUACGCACAGGUACACACAGUAUGUAUCUUCCCAUUUGGGAGUUUGGGAGUUUAGAAGGUAAGUGUGUUGGACUCCAUAACAAUGUGGUUCAGCUGGACUAGCUCCCCACAGACAAGUGUCCCAGUGACAAAAUGUAUUAAGUAGAUGCAUAGAAGUCUAAGGGUGUCCCAGAAGCCCACACUAGGUUUUAAUGCCCCACUGGUUUACUCAAAGUCUUUCUCUACCUCCAACAAACAAAUGCAUCUGUUUCUAAUUUUCAAAAAACAAUUAAUUUUGGAAUUACCGAUAAGGAAUUAAGACCUACACAACCAAUGCCCAACUAACCCAGGAUGGUCUGAGAAAAGAAAAUUCGAUCCAAAUUCAGCUGCAAAUAUAUUGGCAGAAAUACUAUAGAAAACACUUAAGAAAUAGGAUCUGGCACUGUAUAAAAUCAAUACAUUCUGGGGCAGGAGACGUGGUUCAGUUUACAAAGUGUUUACCACACCAGUGUGAGGACCUGAGUCUGGGGUCCCAGAGCCCAUGUAAAAACCCUGGUGCAGUGUCUUUGAGCACCUGUCACUCCGAUGGAGGUGGAGACAGGAGGAUUCCUGGCUCUCACUAGCCAGCUAGCCCAGCAAAGUCAACCAGCUCCAUGAUCAGUGAGAGACCUGCUGUCGACCUCUGGCUUCCACAUGCAUGUACACACCCCACACACGUACACCCAAAUAAUGUAUACACGGACAAAUACACAAAUACCCCCACACAUGCACACACACACACACACACACACACACACACACACACACACACACACUCAGAUCAUUGGAAUGGAUUACAGCCUCAUAGUGAGAUUCGGCUUCAAGCUCACUGCCGGCCCCAAGAGACACGAGAGAUGAGACAUUUCCGUCUCCGAGAGAGACCCAGCAGCUGUCCAAGACUCAGGUCCUGCUGCCUCUGUAUCCACGGGGAACAUGCAGCUGCUGCGGACAGCAGGGCUUGGGGAUCACCCUGGCUCAUAGCACUAGCCUGCAUCCCUCACGGUUCCCUACAGUUCUAGCUGUACGAGCAGAUGGCCUGCCCGCCCACCGGCAACACCUCCAAGCCCACACAGCAAGGGCUGCAUACACAAUGCCCCAUUUGUCUUCCCUUUGCUUUGCGGUCUCCAAGGAAACAGUAGAGUUGAAGUCCAAGGUCAGUGCCGCUCAAGCUUGCAGACUGAUACUCAUUUUUCCCUUUAUUUGCAAAUGGACAAUUUAAAGUUAGGAAACUGGAAAUCUGUCACUCUGGAUGACAAUUAGAUGGUAAAGGGGGAGAAAUGACAUGAGUUUUUAGAUACAGAAGUAGCACUAAAAAAGUUAAACAUUGGGUUGGGGAUUUAGCUCAGUGGUAGAGCGCUUGCAUAGCAAGUGCAAGGCCCUGGGUUCGGUCCCCAGCUCCGAAAAAAAGAAAAGAAAAGAAAAGAAAGUUAAACAUUGUUGUUAUUAUUAUUAUUAAUUAUUGUUGUUGUUUUAGUUGUUAGCAAGGGCUGGAGAGAUGGCUCAAUUCUUAAGAGCAUUUGCUACUCUUGCAGAGGACCUGGGUUUGGUUCACGGCACAGCAGGGCUGGAGAGAUGGCUCAGUGGUUAAGAGCACCGACUGCUCUUCCUGAGGUCCUGAGUUCAAAUCCCAGCACAUGGUGGCUCAGAACCAUCUGUAAUGGGAUCCGAUGCCCUCUUCUGGUGUGUCUGAAGACAGCUACUUUGUACUCAUAUACAAUAAAUCUUUUUAAAAAAUUUUUAAAAAUCCUUAAAAAAAAAACUUGACAGCAAAUUAAAAAUGGAAGGCAGGGACCAGUCAUAGUAGCAUGUCCUCUAAUUCCAGCACUCAAGAGGCAGAAGCCAGUAGACAUCUGUGACUUGAAGACCAGCCCAGUCUACAAAGUUAAUUCCAGGACAGCCAGGGCUACAUGGUGAGAUGCUGUCUCAAAAAAACAAAAAACAAAACAAAACAAAACAAAACAAAACAAAACAAAACAAAAAAAAACCAAAGCCAAGCAGACAAACCAACGAACGAGUCACACUGUCUCCCCAAGCAGAUGACACGCCUGCCAACUCAGAAAAGCCCAGAGACAAACUACUUGAACUAAUAGGAGAGUUCCACAGAACGGCUAAGAAUGGGUUUGACAGCAAUAGACAAAUCUGGUAUAUCAGUAUUUAAAAGAAUGAAAGCCAGAAGGCGUGAUGAGUGAAAGACUCUGGCCCAGAGCUCACCAAGCAGACCAGGCUAGCCCCAGGGAUCCGCCUCCCAGUGCUUGGAUUGUAAGCAUGUAGCACAGGCCUGGCCUUCUUCACAGGGGUACCAGCAGCAGACUGAGUCCUCAUGCUUGUAACAAGCACUUUACCGCAGAGCUGCUCCCGGGCUGACAGGUUUCUUUCUCUUUUCUUUUGUUCUCUUAUUUGACUGUGCACACAUGAAUGCUGCUGUGCACAUGUGGAGGUUAGAGGACAACCUUCAAGAAUUGAUUCUUUCCUUCCACCAUGUCAUUCCAGGGAUCAGGUUGUCAGGAUUGGAAGUGAUUGCACUUACCCACGAAUCAUUCUGCCAUCUUAACAUUGUUAAGGGCUGGGCGGGUAUGUAACAUUUUAUAUUUUACUUUUUCAGGAUGUUAAACUGUCAGUCUGACAUGUUUUCUACCCUAGAGCUGCCAUUCAAUUGCCUGUAACAGGGACACCUGAUAGCCACCUUUCCAGAUCUUGACUUAAACGCUAGUUGUCGAACACAGAGCAGUCCAACCCCAGUUAAAAACAGAUAUCAGGCUGGAUAAAAUGUAGCAAGUUUGCCUGCUAUAUCUGUGUUUUUUUGUUUUUGUUUGCUUUUGGAGACAAGGUUUUUCUGUGUAGCCCUGACUGUUCUUGGAAGUCACACGGUAGACCAGGCUGGCCUGGAACUCAGGGACAUCCACAUGCCUCUGCCUCCUGAGCGCUGGCAUUAAAAGCCUAUGGCACCACUGUCCAACUAUACUUGUAUUUCUUAACAUCUCCUUUGAGUUAUUGUUAUUCCUAUAUCUGUUCUAUCUAUAUAUUCCAAAACUUUAUUGUGUACCGUGUUAGGACAAGGGCUUUGCACAUGCUGGGCAAAUAUAUUGAUUUGUACCUUCUAGCUAGACAUGUUUCCAAUUGUGGUAAAGCAUAUCUAAUAUAUAAAUUGCCAUAUUAACUAUUUUAAAGUGCAAGAUUUAGGGGCUGCAGAGAUGUCACAGUGGUUAAGGGUCUAGUUGCUCUUGGAGGACCUUGGUUUGAUUCCUAGUACCCACUCAGCCACUUGACCAUCUUUAACUCCAAUUCCAGGGACUCGGGGUGAUGUCAUUUUGCAGGUGAAGGCAGGUACAAGACAGAACCAGGCCUGUUAUUGGACAAGAAGGAAGGAUGGGCAGGAGAAAAGUUUUAGAGAGGAGAGGAGACUGGAACAAGGGAGGAGAGGAAGCAGCUGAGAGAACAUGGGGGCAGAUGUUAAGAUUCCUCUCUGCACAUUUACAGGUUGUUAUGAAUGUUCUUAAGGGAUGGACGUGUACAGGGCUUUGCAUGUUUAGGUGGGCAAUUAUAUCUUAUCUAUUG